GCUUGUCCUCAGUUGCUCGCGUCCACUGUGUUGGUUCUGAAACCACGAACAACCCCAUGCUGUCACUGUCACAGUGUGGUGCGGUUGAGUGUUUCAUAGUGUUUCGGUGGUCAUAGCGUGAGGGAAACGCCCGGUUACAUUCCGAACCCGGAAGCUAAGCCUUACAGCGCCGAUGGUACUGCAGGGGGGACCCUGUGGGAGAGUAGGACACCGCCGAAC
rnacentral:rRNA from 1 species